rnacentral:rRNA from 1 species
GGAAACAACCCAGACCGCCAGCUAAGGUCCCAAAGUCAUGGUUAAGUGGGAAACGAUGUGGGAAGGCACAGACAGCCAGGAUGUUGGCUUAGAAGCAGCCAUCAUUUAAAGAAAGCGUAAUAGCUCACUGGUCGAGUCGGCCUGCGCGGAAGAUGUAACGGGGCUAAACCAUGCACCGAAGCUGCGGCAGCGACACUAUGUGUUGUUGGGUAGGGGAGCGUUCUGUAAGCCUGCGAAGGUGGCCUGUGAGGGUUGCUGGAGGUAUCAGAAGUGCGAAUGCUGACAUAAGUAACGAUAAAGCGGGUGAAAAGCCCGCUCGCCGGAAGACCAAGGGUUCCUGUCCAACGUUAAUCGGGGCAGGGUGAGUCGACCCCUAAGGCGAGGCCGAAAGGCGUAGUCGAUGGGAAACAGGUUAAUAUUCCUGUACUUGGUGUUACUGCGAAGGGGGGACGGAGAAGGCUAUGUUAGCCGGGCGACGGUUGUCCCGGUUUAAGCAUGUAGGCUGAUUGUCCAGGCAAAUCCGGAUAAUCAAGGCUGAGGUGUGAUGACGAGGCACUACGGUGCUGAAGUAACAAAUGCCCUGCUUCCAGGAAAAGCCUCUAAGCAUCAGGUAACAUCAAAUCGUACCCCAAACCGACACAGGUGGUCAGGUAGAGAAUACCAAGGCGCUUGAGAGAACUCGGGUGAAGGAACUAGGCAAAAUGGUGCCGUAACUUCGGGAGAAGGCACGCUGGUGUGUAGGUGAAGUCCCUGCGGAUGGAGCUGAGACCAGUCGAAGAUACCAGCUGGCUGCAACUGUUUAUUAAAAACACAGCACUGUGCAAACACGAAAGUGGACGUAUACGGUGUGACGCCUGCCCGGUGCCGGAAGGUUAAUUGAUGGGGUUAUCCGUAAGGAGAAGCUCUUGAUCGAAGCCCCGGUAAACGGCGGCCGUAACUAUAACGGUCCUAAGGUAGCGAAAUUCCUUGUCGGGUAAGUUCCGACCUGCACGAAUGGCGUAAUGAUGGCCAGGCUGUCUCCACCCGAGACUCAGUGAAAUUGAACUCGCUGUGAAGAUGCAGUGUACCCGCGGCAAGACGGAAAGACCCCGUGAACCUUUACUAUAGCUUGACACUGAACAUUGAGCCUUGAUGUGUAGGAUAGGUGGGAGGCUUUGAAGCGUGGACGCCAGUCUGCGUGGAGCCAACCUUGAAAUACCACCCUUUAAUGUUUGAUGUUCUAACGUUGGCCCCUUACCGGGGUUGCGGACAGUGUCUGGUGGGUAGUUUGACUGGGGCGGUCUCCUCCCAAAGCGUAACGGAGGAGCACGAAGGUUAGCUAAUCCUGGUCGGACAUCAGGAGGUUAGUGCAAUGGCAUAAGCUAGCUUGACUGCGAGCGUGACGGCGCGAGCAGGUGCGAAAGCAGGUCAUAGUGAUCCGGUGGUUCUGAAUGGAAGGGCCAUCGCUCAACGGAUAAAAGGUACUCCGGGGAUAACAGGCUGAUACCGCCCAAGAGUUCAUAUCGACGGCGGUGUUUGGCACCUCGAUGUCGGCUCAUCACAUCCUGGGGCUGAAGUAGGUCCCAAGGGUAUGGCUGUUCGCCAUUUAAAGUGGUACGCGAGCUGGGUUUAGAACGUCGUGAGACAGUUCGGUCCCUAUCUGCCGUGGGCGCUGGAGAAUUGAGGGGGGCUGCUCCUAGUACGAGAGGACCGGAGUGGACGCAUCACUGGUGUUCGGGUUGUCAUGCCAAUGGCACUGCCCGGUAGCUAAAUGCGGAAGAGAUAAGUGCUGAAAGCAUCUAAGCACGAAACUUGCCCCGAGAUGAGUUCUCCCUGAGACUUUAAGUCUCCUGAAGGAACGUUGAAGACGACGACGUUGAUAGGCCGGGUGUGUAAGCGCAGCGAUGCGUUGAGCUAACCGGUACUAAUGAACCGUGAGGCUUAACCUU